rfam:Equus caballus chromosome 20, whole genome shotgun sequence.
CCAAAGGCUCUUUUCAGAGCCACUACAUUUUCUAUGAAAGAUUGCUG